AACGAACGCUGGCGGCAUGCCUAACACAUGCAAGUCGAACGAGCCCUUCGGGUCCUGUGGCGCACGGGUGCGUAACGGGUGGGAACCUGCCCUUAGGUUUGGAAUAACUCUCAGAAUGGGGUGCCUAUACCGGAUAAUGUCUUCGGACCAAAGAUGUAUCGCCUUUGGGUGGUCCGGCGUUGGAUUCGCUAGUUGGUAGGGUAAUAGCCUACUACGGCGACGAUGCAUAGCUUGUUUGGGAGGAUGGUCAGCCACACUGGGAGUGAGACGCGGCCCGGACUCUUACGGGAGGCGGGAGUGGGGAAUAGUGCAACGUGGGCGGAAGGCUGAACCAGCUAGGCCGGGAGAGUGAUGAAAGCCGGGGAGUUGUAAAGUUCUUGUACCCGGGAUGAUAUUGACGGUACCGAGAGAAAAAGCUCCGGCUAACUCCGUG
rnacentral:rRNA from 1 species